rnacentral:rRNA from 1 species
CUACGGGUCGCAGCAGUGGGGAAUAUUGCACAAUGGGCGCAAGCCUGAUGCAGCCAUGCCGCGUGUAUGAAGAAGGCCUUCGGGUUGUAAAGUACUUUCAGCGGGGAGGAAGGGAGCAAAGUUAAUACCUUUGCUCAUUGACGUUACCUGCAGAAGAAGCACCGGCUAACUCCGUGCCAGCAGCCGCGGUAAUACGGAGGGUGCAAGCGUUAAUCGGAAUUACUGGGCGUAAAGCGCACGCAGGCGGUUUGUUAAGUCAGAGGUGAAAUCCCCGGGCUCAACCUGGGAACUGCAUCUGAUACUGGCAAGCUUGAGUCUCGUAGAGGGGGGUAGAAGUCCAGGUGUAGCGGUGAAAUGCGUAGAGAUCUGGAGGAAUACCGGUGGCGAAGGCGGCCCCCUGGACGAAGACUGACGCUCAGGUGCGAAAGCGUGGGGAGCAAACAGGAUUAGAUACCCGCGUAGUC